CUUUACUACAGCGUGUUAUUGAAUUGGUGUUUGUGCUGUUUAGUAUAGGUGGGAGCCUUUGAAGCUCGGACGCUAGUCCGAGUGGAGGCAAUAGUGAAAUACCACCCUGUACUGACGUUAAUUCUAACUUGACUCUAACCUGGUCAAGGACAGUGGCUCGUGGGUAGUUUAACUGGGGCGGUUGCCUCCUAAAUGGUAACGGAGGCGUUUAUUAAGGUAGCUAGGCAUGGAUGGAAAUCAUGCUGGUAGUGCAAACGCAUAAGCUUGCUUGACUGCAAGAGUGGCGACUCGCGCAGGUACGAAAGUAGAAGUUAGUGAUCCGAUGCGUUUGAGUGGAAGACGCAAAGCCCAACGGAUAAAAGUUA
rnacentral:rRNA from 1 species